GCGAAAAUAGCUCAGCUGGUAGAGCGCAACCUUGCCAAGGUUGAGGUCGCGGGUUCGAACCCCGUUUUUCGCUCGA
rnacentral:tRNA from 2 species